UACGGAAGGGGCAAGCGUUGCUCGGAAUCAUUGGGCGUAAAGGGCGCGUAGGUGGUUCUGUAUGUCUACCGUGAAAGCGUACGGCUCAACCGUAUUUUGUCGGUGGAAACUGCAGGACUUGAGGCUGGGAGGGGCUGGUGGAAUUCCCUGUGUAGCGGUGAAAUGCGUAGAGAUGGGGGAGAACACUCGUGGCGAAGGCGGCCAGCUAGACCAGUUCUGACACUGAGGCGCGACAGCGUGGGGAGCAAACAGG
rnacentral:rRNA from 1 species